CUCUUUCUCUUCCCCCCGAUUUCCUUCGCCGGGCGCAUGCCGUCGUCGAGCGCCACAUAUCUCUAAAGAUCUUGGCUCGACGGGGGAUUCUUGUUGUUCUGAGAAAGUUAAAGAGUUUGGGGCUUUGUGCCUCGGGAUCUCUCUGCGUUGUCGGUGAACGCAGGUCCGACGUUUCGGUCUACGCGUGCCCAGCAUGCUGCCAGAUUUCCCUUCUAGCUCAGGUAUCUUCUUCCUCCACGGAGGUGUCAUCAGGUGUCAAGGAUCGUGCUCUUCCCAACGGAACAAGGGCUCUGUUGAUCGUCAACACAACCGUCAUUUGGCAAAAAUGUUUCGGAGAGGAUUUUGUGGUCGAUCUCAAAUUCCACCGACAAACAAUUCAUCGCUAAAUAUCGAUGAAUUAUGAUCCAGUUGCUUUUCAUAGAAAGAAUGAUAAGAUAGGAAGUGGAGGAAGCAGGAAAGAGAUUAUCUGAGCAAGUCGAAGGGGAAGAGCAACAUUGCCGGGCUUCUUGACUCUGAGGUAAACCCUUGCAAAAUAAUCUUCAUGUUCAUAUGAAUUCCAGGAAUAAAACUUCACUUGCACUACAUAAUGAAUCAUAUGUCAAACCGACAAGAAAAUUUUCUUCUUUAAGUCCUGAGUACGGUUGCAAUUAUCUUCUACACAAGCAUCCUGCUUUUUAGCUUGUGCUGCCACUCCUUUGACCGCACCUACUCCUGCAUCAUGUGACAUCCU